rnacentral:rRNA from 1 species
UACGUAGGGGGCAAGCGUUGUCCGGAAUCAUUGGGCGUAAAGCGCGCGUAGGCGGCCAGAUAAGUCCGGUGUGAAAGUCACAGGCUCAACCUGUGAAUGCCGCUGGAAACUGUCUGGCUUGAGUCCGGAAGAGGAGAGUGGAAUUCCUGGUGUAGCGGUGAAAUGCGUAGAUAUCUGGAGGAACACCGGUGGCGAAGGCGGCAUCCUGGACCGGUAUUGACGCUGAUGAGCGAAAGCCAGGGGAGCAAACGGG